rnacentral:ncRNA from 1 species
UGUUAGUUUGAUUCUGACUAAUUUAUUAAUUUAAAGUAAUAUGUACAUGUAAGUUUUUGCUUUAUUAUAGUUGAUCUUUUAUUUUUAUUGCAGUAUUUAAUUUUAAAUAUUAAGUUAAUUUUGAUUUGGGUAUUCUUUUUAUUAUUGUAAAUGUUUGUGCCAGCAUACGCGGUUAUACAAUAAAUAUUAAUUAAUAUUAUUGGUUUUAAAUUGAGUUAAAUUUAUUUUUGAGUUUAUCUUUUUAAUUUUUAGGUGAAAUUUAAAUUUUAAAUAAUCUUUUUUUGAUUCUUCGAAAUAUAAAAUUUAAACUAGGAUUAGAUACCCUAUUAUUUUAUAUGUUAAGUUUUACCAGGGUAAUAAUAGUUAUGUUCUUUAAACCUAAAGAAUUUGGCGGUAUCUUAUUCUAAUCAGAGGAAUCUGUUCCUUAAUCGAUAAUCCACGUUUUAUCUUGCUUAAUUUUGUUUAACAGUAUGUAUACCGCCGUUAUAAGUUUAUUCUUUUAGGAUAAAAAUUUACUUUAUAUUUUAUUAAAUUUUAUUUCAGGUCAAGGUGCAGCUUAUAUUUAAGUGGAAAUGGAUUACAAUAUUAUUUUAAAUAUAUGGAUUUAUUGUUGAAAUUAUUUUAAUGAAGGUGGAUUUGAUUGUAAUAUUAUAUAUAUUAAUAAUUUGAUUUUAGCUCUAGGAUGAGUACAUAUCGCCCGUCACUCUCAAUAUAUUUGAGAUAAGUCGUAACAUAGUAGAUGUACUGGAAAGUGUAUCUGGAAUGUC